rnacentral:rRNA from 1 species
GACGAACGCUGGCGGCGUGCUUAACACAUGCAAGUCGAACGGAAAGGCCCCCUUGUGGGGUACUCGAGUGGCGAACGGGUGAGUAACACGUGAGUAACCUACCCUUGACUUUGGGAUAACUUCAGGAAACUGGGGCUAAUACCGGAUAGGAGCUCCUGCUGCAUGGUGGGGGUUGGAAAGUUUCGGCGGUUGGGGAUGGACUCGCGGCUUAUCAGCUUGUUGGUGGGGGAGUGGCUCACCAAGGCUUUGACGGGUAGCCGGCCUGAGAGGGUGACCGGCCACAUUGGGACUGAGAUACGGCCCAGACUCCUACGGGAGGCAGCAGUGGGGAAUAUUGCACAAUGGGCGGAAGCCUGAUGCAGCAACGCCGCGUGCGGGAUGACGGCCUUCGGGUUGUAAACCGCUUUCGCCUGUGACGAAGCGUGAGUGACGGUAAUGGGUAAAGAAGCACCGGCUAACUACGUG